rnacentral:misc_RNA from 1 species
GUCAGUUGGUACGUUGGUUGGGGCAGAAAGCUGAACAGCUAGGAGUUGAAAUAUACCCAGGUUUUGCUGCUAGUGAGAUUUUAUGCAACGAACACAACGAGGUUACUGGUAUUGCUACUAAUGAUAUGGGAGUGGCUAAGGAUGGUUCCAGAAAAGAGAACUACCAGCAUGGUGUUGCACUGAAGGGGCGUGUUACUCUCCUGGCAGAAGGAUGUAGAGGAUCUUUAUCAGAGAAAUUAAUCAAGAAGUACAACUUGAGAGAGAAAGGGCAGGGGCAACAUCAAACCUAUGCUUUAGGAAUCAAAGAGGUCUGGGAGAUUGAUGCAGACAAACAUCAGCCUGGUUAUGUGCUUCACACACUUGGUUGGCCUCUGGACCAGAAGACCUAUGGAGGUUCCUUCUUGUAUCAUAUGAAGGACAGACAAGUCGCUGUUGGCCUUGUGGUUGCUCUAGAUUAUCAAAACCCUUUCCUGAAUCCAUACGAGGAAUAUCAGAGGUUUAAACGUCAUCCUGCUAUUAGGCCACUUCUUG